CUCAGUACCCAUCCUCCCACCUCCAGAUGCACAACCCCCCGGGUACUAUCCUGGGUUGGAGCCCAUUCUGUCACACGCAAUGCCUCAAUGCGGCGCAGCCUGUCCCUGGACGUCCUCCUGCAGGCUUGGGAAAAGCCUCAGAUCUCUCAGUCGUUCCCACGGACCACCACGACCUCCGUGAGGUUUUCAGCAAGGCCCGCGCCACAUCUCUUCCUUCGCAUCGACCCUACGACUGUGCCAUUGACCUCCUCCCGGGCACUACACCACCUCGGAGGCGGCUUUACUCCCUGUCUGGUCCAGAGACCAAGACCAUGGAUGGGUACAUUGAGAACUCUAUGGCUGCAGGGUUUGUUCGUCCUUCGUCCUGUCUGGCAGCUACACUCGACUGGGGCAUCGAGAUCCUGGUCCACAAGGCGCAGUGUUCCCAGCCGUUUAACCAGGCCCGGCUAACCAGUUGUUUGUCCCAGAUUCUGCUUGGUCCCCAGUCCUGGAAUGGGCUUAUUCCUCUAACCUUAUCUGCCAUCACGACUCCUGAUGGAUCAUGGUCUUCCUCCGACAACGGUUUUGUUGGCCCACCGUACUUCCUGACGUCUCCACGUUUGUAGCCGCCUGCAUUGUGUGUGCGCUGAAUAAGACCCUGCGGCAGGCUGCGGCAGGACUCCUUCAACCACUCCCUGUUCCUCACCACCCCUGGUCCCAUAUAUCACUGGACUUUGUCACUGGUCUCCCUCCGUCCAAUGGCAACAGCACCAUCCUUACGGUAGUGGAUAGGUUUUCCAAAGCCGCCCAUUUCAUUCACCUUCCAAAGUUACCCUCAGUCAAGGAGACGGCCCAGCUCAUGGUGCAGCACGUCUUCCGGAUCCAUGGACUUUCGGUCAACAUGGUCUCUGAUCGUGGUCCUCAGUUCUCGUCACGGUUUUGGAAGACGUUCUGCACCCUCAUUUGGCCAUCGGCCAGCCUGUCCUCCGGGUUUCAUCCCCAAUCUAACGGCCAUUCAGAGCAAGCCAAUCAGGACCUGGAGACGACUCUUUGUUGCCUCGUCUCUGCCAACCCCACCACCUGGAGCCAGCAAUUCAUUGUUCUCUGUUUAAUAAAUUACAAGAUGAGCACUAACCACGCUGCGCCUUGGUCUACUCCCUGCAACAGCCGUUACAGAACCACCCACCACCAACGGACCAAGCAGCGUGGGAAAAAGGAGUCAUGGACCUGGGAGGAAAUCCUGGAUGGGGCAGGACCGUGGACAAGGCCGGGAGAAUACCGCCGCCCGCCGGAGGAGAUAGAGGCAGCGAAAGACAGAAUGGCGUUUCUGGGAGGAUCGGCUGGCACGGCAAGAGGAGGCUGAGAGGCAGCCCCCCAAAUUUAUUUUGGGGGGGGCAGACGGGUAGAUUGGCGGAGUCAGGCGAUAGACCUGAGCCAACUCCCCGUGCUUACCGGAAGCGGCGUGGUACUGGUCAGGCGCCGUGUUAUGCGGUGAAGCGCACAGUGUCUCCAGUGCGCGCUCAUAGCCCAGUGCGCUACAUCCCAGCCCCCCGCAAGUGCCAUGCUAGAGUGGGCAUCCAGCCAGGACGGGUUGUGCAGGCCGCACCUCCAGUGCGUCUCCAGGACCCGGUCUAUCCUGUGCCUGCUCCCAGAGCCAGGCCUCCUGCAUGUCUCCCCAGCCUGGUGAGUCCUGUGCCUGAGCCCAGAGCCAGGCCUCCUGCAUGUCUCCCCAGCCUGGUGAGUCCUGUGCCUGAGCCCAGAGCCAGGCCUACUGAAAGUUCCGCCAGUCCGGAGCCGCCAGAGCCGCCCGCCUGUCCGGCGCCGCCAGAGCCGCCCGCCAGUCCGGCGCCGCCAGAGCCGCCAGAGUUGCCCGCCUAGAGGCGAGGGACCCCGCUCUAGAGGCGCCACCAAAGUGGGGUGAGCCAGUGGUGGAGCAGGGUCUGCGUCCCGCUCCUGAAAUUAGCAUACCCUCGGCCCAAGUGUUCGUCCGCCGCUGUCGGCGUACCUGGUAGAGAGCCAGGUCCACUCUUCUUAAGACCACCUCCAGGUAUCGGCAACAGGCGGACCGCCACCAGACCCCUGCUCCCCGCUAUCGUCUCAGGCAGAGGAUAUGGCUCUCCACUCGGGAUCUGGCCCCUGGGUGGAGUUCCGUAAACUUUCCCUCCGCUUUUUCGGCUCUUUCCCCAUCUCUAAAGUCCUUAGCACCACUGUUGUUCGCCUUCUGUUGCCCCGCACCCUCUGUAUAGAUCCCACUUUCCGUGUGUCUACGAUUAAACCUCUGUCUCACAGCCCUUUGUCCUGACCCUGAGCCUACCUGCCGUUCUGUCCCUGAUUGACUCUGCCUUGGAUUACGAACCUCUGCCUGCCCUUGACCUGCCCUUUACCUGACCCUCUGCCUGCCCUUGACCUGCCCUUUACCUGACCCUAUGUUAUAAUAAAUAUUCUGAGAAUCGAACCAUCCACCUCCUCCUGGGUCAUUUCCUGAGUUGUGAUAAUAACUGAAUGAUUGAUAAAAAAAGAAGCAGUCCAGCUGGUUUUUCAUGCUCUCCCAUUUUUCUGCAUUAAAGUGGACAUGCUCUAAUUGAGUCAUUUUUACAUGUAAAAAAAAAAAAUCUAAUGUAUUUAUUAAGCCCUUCUUACAUCAGCUGAUAUAACAAAUACAUCAAAUAUAACAAAGUGCUGUACAGAAACCCAGCCUAAAACCCCAAACAGCAAAC
rnacentral:lncRNA from 1 species